rnacentral:rRNA from 1 species
CCUAAAUACAUGCAAGUCGAGCGAACGGACGAGAGUGCUUGCACUCUCUGAUGUUAGCGGCGGACGGGUGAGUAACACGUGGGUAACCUACCUAUAAGACUGGGAUAACUUCGGGAAACCGGAGCUAAUACCGGAUAAUAUUUAGCUUCGCAUGAAGCAAUNGUGAAAGACGGUUCUGCUGUCACUUAUAGAUGGACCCGCGGUGUAUUAGCUAGUUGGUGAGGUAACGGCUCACCAAGGCAACGAUACAUAGCCGACCUGAGAGGGUGAUCGGCCACAUUGGGGACUGAGAC